rnacentral:rRNA from 1 species
CAGUAGCCGCGGAAUACGGAGGAUCCAAGCGUUAUCCGGAAUCAUUGGGUUUAAAGGGUCCGUAGGCGGUCUUGUAAGUCAGUGGUGAAAGCCCAUCGCUCAACGGUGGAACGGCCAUUGAUACUGCAGGACUUGAAUUAUUGGGAAGUAACUAGAAUAUGUAGUGUAGCGGUGAAAUGCUUAGAGAUUACAUGGAAUACCAAUUGCGAAGGCAGGUUACUACCAAUUGAUUGACGCUGAUGGACGAAAGCGUGGGUAGCGAACAGGAUUAGAUACCCCCGUAGUCCCUGUCUCUUAUACC